AGGAAAUAGAUACCCCGGUACGUCCACGCCCUAAACGAUGUCAACUGGGUGUCGGGGAAGGCGAUUCCCUUGGUACCGUAGCUAAACGCGUGAAAGUUGACCGCCUGGGGAGUACGGCCGCAAGGUUAAAACUCAAAGGAAUUGACGGGGACCCGCACAAGCGGUGGAUGAUGUGGAUUAAUUCGAUGCAACGCGAACAACCUUACCUACCCUUGACAUGUGCGAAACCCUGCUGAGAGGUGGGGGUGCCCGAAACGGGAAUCGCAACACAGGUGCUGCAUGGCUGUCGUCAGCUCGUGUCGUGAGAUGUUGGGUUAAGUCCCGCAACGAGCGCAACCCUUGUCCCUAGUUGCUACGCAAGGGCACUCUAGGGAGACUGCCGGUGACAAACCGGAGGAAGGUGGGGAUGACGUCAAGUCCUCAUGGCCCUUAUGGGUAGGGCUUCACACGUCAUACAAUGGCCGGGUACAGAGGGUUGCCAAACGCGCGAGCUGGAGCCAAUCCCAGAAAGCCGGUCGUAGUCCGGAUUG
rnacentral:rRNA from 1 species